rnacentral:sRNA from 1 species
AGAUUAAUUUACUCCCUCGAUAGAAAUCCUCAAGCAAAGCUAGCCCACACUAAUU